UGACUCGUCCGUAAUUAUUUCAUGAUGUUUCCGAAAGUUGACUUACAUUUACUAUCUUCUUCGUUACUUUCCCCUCUUUUGUAAUUUCCCCAUAUUUACAUGCUCACGUUGAUGAUUCAGCAUCAUUUAUUGAUAUAUCUGCCAGAUUCCGGCACAGUCUUUUUACCGUUUGAUGUUCACGUUCAGUUUGGAGUUAUACUUACCUGUCAACAUUUGUAAUCAUUCAUUGAGCACCAGCAUACCUUUGUUAUUCAUGCUACAUUGUGUUAAUAGAGUGGAUUAUAUGACAAUAAAUAAAACGGUUAUCUUUAA